UACGGGGGGGGGAAGCGUUGUUCGGAAUUACUGGGCGUAAAGGGCUCGUAGGCGGCCAACUAAGUCAGACGUGAAAUCCCUCAGCUUAACUGGGGAACUGCGUCUGAUACUGGAUGGCUUGGAUUCGGGAGAGGAAUGCGGAAUUCCAGGUGUAGCGGUGAAAUGCGUAGAUAUCGGGAGGAACACCGGUGGCGAAGGCGGCGACCUGGGUAGAUACUGACGCUGAGGUGCGAAAGCGUGGGGAGCAAACAGG
rnacentral:rRNA from 1 species